rnacentral:rRNA from 1 species
UCAGAUUGAACGCUGGCGGCAGGCUUAACACAUGCAAGUCGAGCGGUAGCACAGGGGAGCUUGCUCCCUGGGUGACGAGCGGCGGACGGGUGAGUAAUGUCUGGGAAACUGCCUGAUGGAGGGGGAUAACUACUGGAAACGGUAGCUAAUACCGCAUAACGUCGCAAGACCAAAGAGGGGGACCUUCGGGCCUCUUGCCAUCAGAUGUGCCCAGAUGGGAUUAGCUAGUAGGUGGGGUAAUGGCUCACCUAGGCGACGAUCCCUAGCUGGUCUGAGAGGAUGACCAGCCACACUGGAACUGAGACACGGUCCAGACUCCUACGGGAGGCAGCAGUGGGGAAUAUUGCACAAUGGGCGCAAGCCUGAUGCAGCCAUGCCGCGUGUGUGAAGAAGGCCUUCGGGUUGUAAAGCACUUUCAGCGAGGAGGAAGGUGGUGAGCUUAAUACGCUCAUCAA